GAGAAAUGGCAGAGUGGUCGAUCGCGGCGGUCUUGAAAACCGUUAAACAGAAAUGUUUCGGGGGUUCGAAUCCCUCUUUCUCC
rnacentral:tRNA from 1 species